GACGAACGCUGGCGGCGUGCCUAAUACAUGCAAGUCGAGCGGAUCUUUAGGAGCUUGCUCCUUGAGAUUAGCGGCGGACGGGUGAGUAACACGUGGGCAACCUGCCUGUAAGACUGGGAUAACACCGGGAAACCGGUGCUAAUACCGGAUAAUUCUUUCCCUCUCAUGAGGGAAAGCUGAAAGUCGGUUUCGGCUGACACUUACAGAUGGGCCCGCGGCGCAUUAGCUAGUUGGUGAGGUAACGGCUCACCAAGGCGACGAUGCGUAGCCGACCUGAGGGGGUGAUCGGCCACACUGGGACUGAGACACGGCCCAGACUCCUACGGGAGGCAGCAGUAGGGAAUCUUCCGCAAUGGACGAGAGUCUGACGGAGCAACGCCGCGUGAGUGAUGAAGGCCUUCGGGUCGUAAAACUCUGUUGUUAGGGAAGAACAAGUAUCGGAGUAACUGCCGGUACCUUGACGGUACCUAACCAGAAAGCCACGGCUAACUACGUGCCAGCCGCCGCGUAACAC
rnacentral:rRNA from 1 species